CCUACGGGGGGCAGCAGUGGGGAAUAUUGCACAAUGGGGGAAACCCUGAUGCAGCGACGCCGCGUGAGCGAUGAAGUAUUUCGGUAUGUAAAGCUCUAUCAGCAGGGAAGAAAAUGACGGUACCUGAGUAAGAAGCCCCGGCUAACUACGUGCCAGCAGCCGCGGUAAUACGUAGGGGGCAAGCGUUAUCCGGAAUUACUGGGUGUAAAGGGAGCGUAGACGGUUAAGCAAGUCUGGAGUGAAAGGCGGGGGCCCAACCCUCGGACUGCUCUGGAAACUGUGUAACUGGAGUGCAGGAGAGGUAA
rnacentral:rRNA from 1 species